rnacentral:lncRNA from 1 species
AGUGAACCGUAAAAUUUGGGGUCAAAACUCUAAUUUGGCAUUUAAAUUAGAAAGAUCAUAUCAUAGGGCACAUGUAUACUAAGUUUCAAGUUGAUUGGACUUUCAACUUCAUCAAAACUACCUUGACCAAAAACUUUAACUGAAGCCAAAAACUUUAACCUGAAAUUUGCACUAUCAUUUUCUAUUUUCAGUGAACCAUAAAAUUGGGGUCAAAACUCUAAUUUGGCAUUUAAAUUAGAAAGAUCAUAUCAUAGGGCACAUGUAUACUAAGUUUCAAGUUGAUUGGACUUCAACUUCAUCAAAAACUACCUUGACCAAAAACUUUAACCUGAAGCCAAAAACUUUAACCUGAAAUUUGCACUAUCAUUUUCUAUGUUCAGUGAACCGUAAAAUUGGGGUCAAAACUCUAAUUUG